rnacentral:rRNA from 1 species
UACGGAGGAUGCGAGCGUUAUCCGGAUUUAUUGGGUUUAAAGGGUGCGCAGGCGGAUGGUCAAGUCAGCGGUCAAAUCACGGGGCUCAACCCCGUCCAGCCGUUGAAACUGGCCGUCUAGAGUGGGCGAGAAGUACGCGGAAUGCGUGGUGUAGCGGUGAAAUGCAUAGAUAUCACGCAGAACUCCGAUUGCGAAGGCAGCGUACCGGCGCCCUACUGACGCUCAUGCACGAAAGCGUGGGUAUCGAACAGG